AUUGAACGCUGGCGGCAGGCCUAACACAUGCAAGUCGAGCGGAUGACGGGAGCUUGCUCCUUGAUUCAGCGGCGGACGGGUGAGUAAUGCCUAGGAAUCUGCCUGGUAGUGGGGGACAACGUUUCGAAAGGAACGCUAAUACCGCAUACGUCCUACGGGAGAAAGCAGGGGACCUUCGGGCCUUGCGCUAUCAGAUGAGCCUAGGUCGGAUUAGCUUGUUGGUGAGGUAAUGGCUCACCAAGGCGACGAUCCGUAACUGGUCUGAGAGGAUGAUCAGUCACACUGGAACUGAGACACGGUCCAGACUCCUACGGGAGGCAGCAGUGGGGAAUAUUGGACAAUGGGCGAAAGCCUGAUCCAGCCAUGCCGCGUGUGUGAAGAAGGUCUUCGGAUUGUAAAGCACUUUAAGUUGGGAGGAAGGGUUGUAGAUUAAUACUCUGCAAUUUUGACGUUACCGACGGAAUAAGCACCGGCUAACUCUGUG
rnacentral:rRNA from 1 species